GACGCCUCUCCCUCAGAACAAGAGUGCACGGGGCAGGGUCGUCUUCUUUAUUCUCUCUCACUAUGCUACCUCAGAACUUAGCAGAAUGUCUGACCUGAAUAAUUACAGAAUGGACGAUUAGUAAAUACUGACAAAAAAUUGGGGAGCAGCCGAGCACCGUCUUUGGAGCAUGGGGCAUUUGAGGCGUGGAACCAGCUCAGAAAGGAUCCCCAGAGAGGUGGCUCGGGCUGCCUCCAGCGGGCCCACAACAAUAAUUCCAGGGCCAGAGAGCUCGAAGGUGGAAUAAGGAACUCUGAGGGAAUUCUGAGCAAAAACUGCACCUUUGAAUUGAAAGAAUACCCUCACGUAUUUUAAAUCCGACUUAACCAGGAAAGCGGGGAAAGGAGACAGCUUCAUACCUUGCCAAAACAUGCUGAAGCAACUGGGGAGUCAGUGACACCAGGCCACCGAGAUCUGGGAAGCUGAUGGAAAGUAUGCUCUAUGUCAAGGCCAGCAGGAAACCCUGGGAGGACUAUCCCUUGGAGAAACCCUGGGAGAAGAUGGGGCAAGAGUCUGAAGUGCAUUUAAAGUCUCAUCUUGUUCAGUAUAUGGAGAUCACAGAGCUGAUUUUUAAAUUUUCUCCAGUAAAAGCUUUAUUGAGAUGUAAUUCAGAUUUAAUUCUGCUAUAAAACCAAAUUAAAUUCAUGAAAAAUAGUAUUUCUAAGUAAAAUAAUGACAAACUCUUUUAA